GACGAACGCUGGCGGCGUGCCUAAUACAUGCAAGUAGAACGCAGUUGCGAACGGGUGAGUAACGCGUAGGUAAUUGCCUCAUAGCGGGGGAUAAUUCUUGGAAACGAUAGCUAAUACCGCUAACUUUGCGAUGGACCUGCGUUGUAUUAGCUGGUUGGUGAGGUAAAGGCUCACAAAGGACGGGAUACAUAGCCGGCUUGAGCGGGUGGUCGGACACACUUGGACUGAGACCCGGCCCCGACCCCCACGGGAGGCAGCAGGAGGGAAACUUUGGAAAUGGACGGAAGUCUGACCGCGCAACGCCGGGUGAGUGAAGAAGGUUUUUGGAGCUUUAAGCUCUUUUGUGAGAGAAGCGGUAACUACCCAGGAAGGGCCGGCUAACUACGUGCCAGCAGCCGCGGUAAUAC
rnacentral:rRNA from 1 species